UGAGUAACACGUGGAUAACCUACCUAUAAGACUGGGAUAACUUCGGGAAACCGGAGCUAAUACCGGAUAACAUGUUGAACCGCAUGGUUCAACAGCGAAAGACGGUCUUGCUGUCACUUAUAGAUGGAUCCGCGCCGCAUUAGCUAGUUGGUAAGGUAACGGCUUACCAAGGCAACGAUGCGUAGCCGACCUGAGGGGGUGAUCGGCCACACUGGAACUGAGACACGGUCCAG
rnacentral:rRNA from 1 species